GUAACAACAACAACAACAACAACAAACCCAGUGUAUUCCCACUUACGUGGGGUCUGGGGGGGUAAGAUGUACGCAGUCCAUACCUCUACCUCUGCUGAGGUAGAAAGGUUGUUUCCGAAAGACCCCCGGCUCAAGUAACGAGAUAUCACACAAACACACAGUACAGCACAGAAGCAGAUGACAUAACAUAGAUACGGCACCCAUAAGGAAUAUAAAACAGAGUAAAGCAUGAAUGCAGGAAUAUAAAGCAGAGGAAAGCACACAUAUUCGUAAUAAACAUGGAACACGGAACACGGAACAUUGAAUACGGAAUCCUAACAGGAAUACCCCCCACCAAUUAAUUACCUA
rnacentral:lncRNA from 1 species